rnacentral:lncRNA from 1 species
CAGCAGAGUUGUUUGCCAAAGAGUGACUAUCAAGGCCUUGACUAAUGUUCUAAGGAGGGCACAAUGUUCCACUCCCAAAACAAUGUAACCCAGUGGUUUUCAGCAAGGAAACUGAUAAAUUUCCCAAAGGAAUUCCUUACUGUCAGUAAGACCUCUGAAAAUUCACUAGUGAGAAUAAAUGCCACGAAAUCUAACAUUAGUAUUCUGAACUGAAUUUGCUUAUGCCAGACCUCUAAACAAUAAAUUGUGUUCUGCUGUGUUGCUAUGCCCGUUCAUGAGGCAAGCCAUUUUAAAGUAAAGCAUCUUGGAGAUUCCAUAAGAGCAGAAUGUGGAAGGGGUGUACUGCUUUAGGCUAGGGGAAAACAGCAAAAAAAAAAAAAAAAUAGUGGAUGAAGUAUAUUCUUAGGGGAGACUUGGAGAGCAAACUACAGGAAGUGCUGAGGAAGGAAGAAGGACACCGUGGAUCAUGGUGGAAGGCCCACGUGGACGCAAAGCAGCAAGCACAGACACAGCACAUGACCCCAGGAGCCGAGAGCGGGAGACUGCACCAGCUUUGGAGAGUGAGCUGUCGGACACAUUGCUGGGGAAAGCCAGACAUGAGCCUCCUUCAGCACCGGACACAGCCUAGGAUCCUGCUGGGCUCAGGACCUCCCCUCCCAUCUCUAGUCCCACGAGGAAUGUUUGUUCCCGUUCUCUGCUGGGGGAGUUUUUUCAUGGCGGGGCCUCAUCCUCGACGAAGCUGUGGGACUCAGAGCCAGGCUCUGUGUGGCCCGACGAUCCUGCUGACCCCGGCCUCCUGUAGACCAUGGGCCGCCAUACCCCUGGCCGCAUUUCCAGCUUUUCAAGUGGGAAGAAACCACCCUGCGUCCCAGGACUUGCACUUCUGUGGGCCAUCCUCAGCAAGACAUUUUCAUGGAUAUGAAACUGGACACCGAGUUGACGCUGCAGUUCAGCUGCUGGGUAAUCUUCCAUUUCUGGAACCUCCUUGGCUUCCUGGUAAAACCCAGCUGUGCCUUCACCCUGGACAGGAGCAACUGGGCACGGAUGUGAAACUAACCCAGAGUGGACGGUGA